rnacentral:rRNA from 1 species
AUCUGCCUGAGGAAGAGAAUAAUCCCGGGAAACUGGGGGUAAUGCUCUAUAGUCCGGGGGGACUGGAAUGUUCUCCGGAUGAAAGAUCCGUCGCUUCAGGAUGGGUCUGCGGCCGAUUAGGUAGUUGUUGGGGUAAAAGCCCAACAAGCCAGUGAUCGGUACGGGUUGUGGGAGCAAGAGCCCGGAGUUGGAUUUUGAGACACGAAUCCAGGUUUUACGGGGCGCAGCAGGCGCGAAAACUUUACAAUGCGGGCAACCGUGAUAAGGGAACUUCGAGUGCCUGUAUAUGCAGGCUGUCCACCAGUGUAAACAACUGGUGAAGAAAGGGCCGGGCAAGACCGGUGCCAGCCGCCGCGGUAAAUACCGGCGGCUCGAGUGGUGGCCAGCUUUUAUUGGGCUUAAAGCGUCCGUAGCUGGAUCCAUGGGUCCCUUGAGAAAUCCAGCAGCUUAACUGCUGGGCGUUCAGGGGAAACUGUGGUUCUAGGGACCGGGAGAGGUGAGGAGUACUGCGGGGGUUGGAAUUAAAUCCUGUAAUCCCCGUGGGACGACCUAUAGCGAAGGCGCCUCACCAGAACGGCUUCGACAGUGAGGGACGAAAGCUGGGGGAGCAAACCGGAUUAGAUACCCGGGUAGUCCCAGCCGUAAACGAUGUGCGUUAGGUGUAUCGAUGACCACGAGUCAUCGAGGUGCCGAAGGGAAACCGUGAAACGUACCGCCUGGGAAGUACGGUCGCAAGGCUGAAACUUAA